UGCAACAUUUAUUAAUAGGUAGUAAUAUCAUUAUUGUAAUGCACAGAGAUGUAGAAAGAAACACAUGAGCAAUAAUACCUACUUACUAAAUAUUUCCCAAAAAUUUUGCACAAAUAACACAAGACAUUACCGUAAAAUUAGACAGUAUUUAAAUAAUAAACAACGGACACUCAGAGGAAACACUGGUUCAUUAAAUUGUAUAACCUGUAACAGUUGACGAGUAUUAUCUGUUGGGAGUAUGGAAUGGAACAUUAUUUACAAGGUCACAGCAUUAAUCAAACAGAAUUCACUUCAGGACUGGCUUCAGGGACAGAAUGAAUGCGCAAACACCUCCGUCGUCAUCGUCAUCAACAGAUAGUUUAGAUGAAGAUCCACAAGAUCAUUUGUAAUUGUAAUUAAAUAAUUCUAUACAUAACCUUACUAAUACAUUACUAAAGAGAUUAAGUAUUUGAAAUUAAAUAUUUUACACGUUUUUUUGC